GACGAACGCUGGCGGCGUGCCUAAUACAUGCAAGUCGAACGCAGUGGGUACGGGUGAGUAACACGUGGGUAACCUCCCAUCAGAUGGGCUACCACUUGGAAACAGGUGCUAAACCCAUACGGCUUGAUUGACCCUCGGUGCAUUAGCUAGUUGGUGAGGUAACGGCUCACCAAGGCGCCGAUGCAUAGCCGGCCUGAGAGGGCGAUCGGCCACACUGGAACUGAGACACGGCCCAGACUCCUACGGGAGGCAGCAGUAGGGAAUAUUCGGCAAUGGACGCAAGGCUGACCGAGCAACGCCGCGUGAGUGAAGAAGGUUUUCGGAUCGUAAAGCGCUGUUGUUAGAGAAGCGGUAUCUAACCAGAAAGCGACGGCUAACUACGUGCCAGCAGCCGCGGUAAUUC
rnacentral:rRNA from 1 species